rnacentral:rRNA from 1 species
GACGAACGCUGGCGGCGUGCCUAAUACAUGCAAGUAGAACGCACAGUUUAUACCGUAGCUUGCUACACCAUAGACUGUGAGUUGCGAACGGGUGAGUAACGCGUAGGUAACCUGCCUGGUAGCGGGGGAUAACUAUUGGAAACGAUAGCUAAUACCGCAUAAUAUUGAUUAUUGCAUGAUAAUUAAUUGAAAGGUGCAAUUGCACCACUACCAGAUGGACCUGCGUUGUAUUAGCUAGUAGGUGAGGUAACGGCUCACCUAGGCGACGAUACAUAGCCGACCUUGUGGGGUGAUCGGCCAAACUGGGACUGAGACACGGCCCAGACUCCUACGGGAGGCAGCAGUAGGGAAUCUUCGGCAAUGGACGAAAGUCUGACCGAGCAACGCCGCGUGAGUGAAGAAGGUUUUCGGAUCGUAAAACUCUGUUGUAAGAGAAGAACGGGUGUGAGAGUGGAAAGUUCACACUGUGACGGUAUCUUACCAGAAAGGGACGGCUAACUACGUG